rnacentral:rRNA from 1 species
GUCUACGGCCACGCCACCCUGAAUAAGCCCAAUCCCGUCUGAUCUCAGAAGCUAAGUAGGGUCGGGCCUGGUUAAUACUUGGAUGGGAGACCACCUAGGUAAACCAGGUAUCAUAGGUG